GACGAACGCUGGCGGCGUGCUUAACACAUGCAAGUCGAACGAUGACGACCGAGCUUGCUCGGUCUGAUUAGUGGCGAACGGGUGAGUACAAGUGAGCAAACUGCCCUUCACCCUUGGGUAAACCCCGGAAAUUGGGGCUAAUACCGGAUAUGAACCUCUGUCCCAUGGCGGGGGUUGGGAAGUUUUUCGGUGAAGGAUGGGCUCGCGGCCUAUCAGUUUGUUGGUGAGGUAGUGGCUCACCAAGGCGAUGACGGGUAGCCGGCCUGAGAGGGCGACCGGCCACACUGGGACUGAGACACGGCCCAGACUCCUACGGGAGGCAGCAGUGGGGAAUAUUGCACAAUGGGCGAAAGCCUGAUGCAGCGACGCCGCGUGAGGGAUGACGGCCUUCGGGUUGUAAACCUCUUUCAGCAGGGAAGAAGCGAAAGUGACGGUACCUGCAGAAGAAGCGCCGGCUAACUACGUG
rnacentral:rRNA from 1 species